UACGUAGGGGGCUAGCGUUGUCCGGAAUCAUUGGGCGUAAAGAGCGUGUAGGCGGCCAGGUAGGUCUGCUGUGAAAACUCGAGGCUUAACCUCGAGAUGUCGGCGGAAACCAUCUGGCUAGAGUCCGGAAGAGGAGAGUGGAAUUCCUGGUGUAGCGGUGAAAUGCGCAGAUAUCAGGAAGAACACCCGUGGCUAAGGCGGCUCUCUAGUACGGUACUGACGCUGAGACGCGAAAGCGUGGGGAGCGAACAGG
rnacentral:rRNA from 1 species